AGUGAACGCUGGCGGUAGGCCUAACACAUGCAAGUCGAACGGCAGCACAGGAGAGCUUGCUCUCUGGGUGGCGAGUGGCGGACGGGUGAGGAAUACAUCGGAAUCUGCCCAGUCGUGGGGGAUAACGUAGGGAAACUUACGCUAAUACCGCAUACGACCUUCGGGUGAAAGAGGGGGAUCGCAAGACCUCUCGCGAUUGGAUGAGCCGAUGUCGGAUUAGCUAGUUGGCGGGGUAAUGGCCCACCAAGGCGACGAUCCGUAGCUGGUCUGAGAGGAUGAUCAGCCACACUGGAACUGAGACACGGUCCAGACUCCUACGGGAGGCAGCAGUGGGGAAUAUUGGACAAUGGGCGCAAGCCUGAUCCAGCCAUACCGCGUGGGUGAAGAAGGCCUUCGGGUUGUAAAGCCCUUUUGUUGGGGAAGAAAUCUUUCAGGCUAAUACCCUGGGAGGAUGACGGUACCCAAAGAAUAAGCACCGGCUAACUUCGUG
rnacentral:rRNA from 1 species